CCCCGCGCCGGGCCGCCCUCCCCUGCAGAAGCCCACUUCAUGCUUGUCACCUAAAUUGAGGAUCCUUUUUGUGCCGGGAGGGGGGCGAACAUGGGCAUUUCAAUCACUAGGACAUAAUAUGGCUCUGCUAGAAGUCUGGCAACAAACAAAGAACAACAACUAUUGGUUUGCAUCAACUUUUGUCAGGCAUUCAGCAGGCAUCCAGAAAGGCCUGAAGUGGCUUAGUGGCAACAAUGUGCAUUUCAUAGCUACAGCAUGAAAAUCCAUCUCCAUGGAAACGGGUAGUAAAUGCUAACAUGACAUGCUGAGUAUAAAUAUUGUGAGGGUUAUAACUCUUGUAUAAAUGGCCCAGAUAAAUGUCCCCCUGUUUAGGAAUUACAACAAAACAUGUUAUUUCAUGCUGCAGCCCUCGCUAGCUCCCAGAGAGUCCUCCAGAGCCCGGGCACCGUGCAUGGGAAUAACUCCAGGCUUGCCCGCGGGCUGCCGCCAUCCAUCCCGCCCUUGUGGGGCUGCGGCUGCGGCACCUUCAGGGUUUUCUCGUGCCCGGUUUAGGGACCCCGUCCACAGGCUUUGCCUUGCAUUUCUACGCAAAAUAAACCACCCUGUGGUAGCUGUAGUUGGAGAUCGGUGAAACUUCUUUUUCUAUAGGUAGUAACACCUUAGAUACUUUUUUUAAUUAGUAAAGAAUGUCGAAUAGUCUUUAGGCUACCUAAAAAAGCAUUAUUUGGCAAUGUAAAUAUUUACAUUAAUUGCAAAUAAAUGUACUCUCUAAAGUUCCCAACUUUAGUUUCUGUAAAAUAAAGAAUUGUACUUAGUGACCUAAAAAGCAAGAUCAGAGACUAUUGCUUUGUAAAACAAAAACACUUUUCUGACUGAAAACAGAAUUGUUGCUGCUUCAGAACUUCCCGUAUUACCAAAACUGUCCAAUUGUAGAGGGGGAAAAUGGGGUAACCAGGCUGCCGAGCAAUAAAAAGAUAUCAACAUGUUGGCCUUUGUUGAAUCCCAGCACCUAGUGUGACAUGACAUGGUGCCCUGCUGCGUGUGCCCCCGAGGACUGACAGCAGCAGCGGCUCGCGGGAAGGGGAGGGGAGACACGAGCCGGAGAAAUAUUCGUUUAUGGUAGCAAAGGAUAAAAAUAGCUGUCUGUCCGUGCGAGCGGCCCUGGGCUGUGCAGCGCAGAGGGUCAGUUCCAUCCCUCAGGCCGGGCAGGGAAGCCGUGAGCGAGCUGAGAGAGGACACGGCCGAUGGUGGAACACCGGGAUGGGAAUGUGCUCAGAGAGAAUGCCUUGGGCUAGUGAGAUGGAAUGGAGCCCGUGCGGAGCAAGACAGGGAUCGGUAACAUCAGAUGCUUUUUGUUAUCCUGAGUCCUAUUUACAAAUAUCUGGGAAAAAAAAAUUAAAAAGAGAGAAUAAAGUUUACUUAAAUA